rnacentral:rRNA from 1 species
GACGAACGCUGGCGGCGUGCUUAACACAUGCCAGUCGAACGGAAAGGCCCUGCUUUUGUGGGGUGCUCGAGUGGCGAACGGGUGAGUAACACGUGAGUAACCUGCCCUUGACUUUGGGAUAACUUCAGGAAACUGGGGCUAAUACCGGAUAGGAGCUCCUGCUGCAUGGUGGGGGUUGGAAAGUUUCGGCGGUUGGGGAUGGACUCGCGGCUUAUCAGCUUGUUGGUGGGGUAGUGGCUUACCAAGGCUUUGACGGGUGGCCGGCCUGAGAGGGUGACCGGCCACAUUGGGACUGAGAUACGGCCCAGACUCCUACGGGGGGCAGCAGUGGGGAAUAUUGCACAAUGGGCGGAAGCCUGAUGCAGCAACGCCGCGUGCGGGAUGACGGCCUUCGGGUUGUAAACCGCUUUCGCCUGUGACGAAGCGUGAGUGACGGUAAUGGGUAAAGAAGCACCGGCUAACUACGUG